rnacentral:rRNA from 1 species
UACGGAGGGAGCUAGCGUUGUUCGGAAUUACUGGGCGUAAAGCGCACGUAGGCGGCUUUGUAAGUUAGAGGUGAAAGCCUGGAGCUCAACUCCAGAACUGCCUUUAAGACUGCAUCGCUUGAAUCAUGGAGAGGUGAGUGGAAUUCCGAGUGUAGAGGUGAAAUUCGUAGAUAUUCGGAAGAACACCAGUGGCGAAGGCGACUCACUGGACAUGUAUUGACGCUGAGGUACGAAAGCGUGGGGAGCAAACAGG